AUUGAACGCUGGCGGCAUGCUUUACACAUGCAAGUCGAACGGUAACAGGUUAAGCUGACGAGUGGCGAACGGGUGAGUAAUGCAUCGGAACGUGCCCGAUCGUGGGGGAUAACGCAGCGAAAGCUGCGCUAAUACCGCAUACGAUCUGAGGAUGAAAGCGGGGGACCGUAAGGCCUCGCGCGAUCGGAGCGGCCGAUGUCAGAUUAGGUAGUUGGUGGGGUAAAGGAUCACCAAGCCAACGAUCUGUAGCUGGUCUGAGAGGACGACCAGCCACACUGGGACUGAGACACGGCCCAGAGUCCUACGGGAGGCAGCAGUGGGGAAUUUUGGACAAUGGGCGAAAGCCUGAUCCAGCAAUGCCGCGUGCAGGAAGAAGGCCUUCGGGUUGUAAACUGCUUUUGUACGGAGCGAAAAGGCUCUCUCUAAUACAGGGGGCUCAUGACGGUACCGUAAGAAUAAGCACCGGCUAACUACGUGCCAGCAGCCGCCGUAA
rnacentral:rRNA from 1 species